GGUUCGAUGGUGUAGUUGGUUUAUCACUUCUGUCUAACAUUGCCCUUGCUUGCAUGUUCACAGGCGGUCCUCAGUUCGAACCUGGGUCGAAUCA